CUCGCUCUCAUCUUCGCUGCUGGACUCGGACGAGUCCCCUCCAUCCUCGGACGAGUCCCCGUUCUCAUCAUCGUCCUCCUCUUCGUCCUCGUCCUCGUCGUCGUCAUCCUCCUCAUCCUCAUCCUCGGACUC
rnacentral:miRNA from 1 species